rnacentral:lncRNA from 1 species
GCACGCCUUGCUAAUUUUUAUAUCUUUAGUAGAGACAGGGUUUCACCAUGUUGGCCAGGAUGGUCUCGAUCUCUUGACCUUGUAAUCUGCUCACCUUGGCCUCCCAAAGUGCUGAGAUUACAGGCGUGAGCCACCAUGCCUGGUCCAAAAAGUUGUUUUUUCAAAAAGAUAAACAAAAUUGAUAAACCACUAGCUGAAGACCCAAAUAAACAAAAUUAGAAAUGAAAAAGGAGACAUUACAACUAUACAACCAAUACCACAGAAAUACAAAAGAUCAUCAAAGACUUUUAUAAACAACCAUACAUUAACAAACUGGAAAGCCUAGAGGAAAUGAAUGAAUUUCUGAAAACAUAUACCCAACCAAGAUUGAAUCAAGAGGAAAUAGGAAACUUGAAUAGACCAAUCAUGAAUAGCAAAGUUGGCUGGGCAAGGUGACUCAUGCCUGUAAUCCCAGCACUUUGGGAGACCAAGGCGGGCAGAUCAAGAGGUCUGGAGUUCGCGACCAGCUUGGCCAACAUGGUGAAACCCCAUUUCUACUAAAAAUACAAAAAAAUUAGCCAGGCAUGAUGGCAGGCGUCUGUAAUUCCUGCUACUCAGGAGGCUGAGGCAGAGAAUUGCUUGAACCCAGGAGGUGGAGGUUGUAGUAAACCAAGAUCAUGCCAUUGCACUCCAGCCUGGGCCGCAGAACGAGACUCUGUCUCAAAAAAAAAAAAAGAAAAAAAUGAAUAGCAAAGUCGAGUCAGUAAUAAAAAGUCUCCCAAUAAAGAAAAGCUCAGGACUGGAUGGAUUCAUAGCCAAUUUCUACCAAACAUUUAAAUAAGAACUAAUAAGGCCGGGUAUGGUGGCUCACUUCUGUAAUCUCAGCAAUUUGGGAGGCUGAGGCGGGUGGAUUACUUGAACCCAGGAGGUGGAGGUUGCAGCAAGCUGAGAUUGCGCCACUGCACUCCAGCCUGGGCAACAAGAGCAAAACUCCAUCUCAAAAGAAAAGAAAAAAGAACAGAAAAGAAAAGAAAGUCAAGACAUUCUCAUACAUUGUUUCUGUAGAUCAUAUUCUCCAGACCACCUCAAGGAAAAGGAUCGGGUCAAAUGGAAUACUUAAAAGAUGUUAAGGAAUUAAAAAUAGUUACAGGCAGGCCGGGCACGGUGGCUCACUCCUGUAAUCCCAGCACUUUAGGAGGCAGAGGCAGGCAGAUCACUUGAAGUUGAGAGUUCAAGAACAGCCUGACCAACAUGGAGAAACCCCGUCUCUACUAAAAAUACAAAA